GAGGCUGUGGCUCAGGGGUGGAGUGUGUGCUUAGCAUGCAGAGGUCCUGGGUUCAAUCCCCAGGGCCUCC
rnacentral:tRNA from 1 species